AGGUGGUUGAGAACCAUUGACGUAGACUGACUUAGCAGAUCUUCAAAUGUGAAUAGGGAAUCCUGCCAUUCCACUGAUGAGAACAGCAUGCUUAGGAUAUUGCUUCUGAGAAGAGAGGCAUCCUGUUGUAUGUAGUGGCCACAUAACAGACUGCAAAGAACUGGAACGCAGAGUAAUUUUAAUCCAAAAUGUUCAAAGGAUGAACAAAACUGCAAUAAAGCAGAGUAAGUAAACACAAAGAGUGGCCAAGAUGGCCAACUAAAAGCAGAUAGGAUGCGUGGCUCUCACAGAGAGGAAAGGAAGGAAGGGGCAAGUAAAUACAGCACUGCCAACUGACACAUCCAGACAGUCAACACUGGGACUAAUCAAGGAAACAACUCGACCCACAGAGAAUGGAGAAGAGCAAGGCAGGACGACGGCCCAUCUGGGAGCAGAAUGUGGAGCCAAGGGAACCUCCCUUGCCAAGAGAUGAAUGAAAUGAUAGGAUAGAAGCCUGGCGGAUAUCUGGACAGAACUAUGCAAGAGCCUUCCUGAGAAUGGAAGCCACAGGAGGGAAAACGGAACUUGGGAAAGGAAAGAGUAAAGUGGAAUUUCAAUGACAUCAUUUAAAUGCCUGGAUCCAAAAGUGUCUGGACAUUCAAUAUCAAAAUAUUUGCUUCUCACAUCAUAUUUCAGUGAUGUGAGCCAAAUGUUACCUUCCACCACCCUUUUAAGAGUCCACUUGAUUUCAGUGUUCCUUCACUUGCAACCAGAGUUCUCACUGAUAAGUGUCUAUAUGGUGGUUCAUUCCUCCCUCAGUGGUAUAUGACAAUGAAACAAGAAGGUAUGGCAGGUUAAAAGUCAUAGGGUACCACAACAUUACACACUGAGCCACAAAAGCAGCUCAAAGCCAUGGUUUGUGGGGCUCCACCUCUUGCUCUCUGGAAGGCAUUAAUACAUGGUGGGAGAAAAUUAUAAGAUCUAUAUUGUCACAGAACUUUUCACAUAAUUAUAUUGUUAUUUUAUAUUCAUUUGCUCCUGGGCUUCAUCAAAUGGAGAAUUUCUUAUCUCUGUAUCCUCAAGGUUCAACACACUACCUGGCACAAGCUAGGUACAUAAUAAAUGUUCAAGUAAAAGAAUAAAUGAUUCAUUUCUUAGUAAAAGCGUUGCCUAGCAUGGUAUAAAAUUGUAACUAAGGAUAAAUCCCUUUAUUUCAAUCAGUUUUCACAUCAUGAGCCAUUGAUCUUUUAAAUGCAUGUUAAAAGUAAUGCUAUUCAAAAAGCUUUCC
rnacentral:lncRNA from 10 species